UUUUUUUAAAAUUAUUACAUAUGUGUGAGAAUGGCUUCUUGGAAUGAAAUCUAGAAAACUAAAAUACCAAAGUUUAUUUUGUUUUCUUGAAGCACAGAAGUUUCAAUUGAUUUUUAAAAUGAUAAAAAGAAAUAUUACAAAACCAGAUUACCUUGUGAAAGGCUAUGCAAUUAUGAGCACAGAAAUGUCUUGGUGGUAUGUUGAAAAGCACUCAAAGGAUAAGGAAAACUUUCAUUUAUCCGUAGUGACUAAUUGCUAGCAAUGUUCAAGUAAGAAAUAACUAUGUUCACACAUCUAAAAGGUAGACUAAGUAAUAUGAGGUCAGUCACAUUGUUAAAUAAUGUUGCUUUGAGCUAAUCACUUUCUGACAGCCAUUUCAAAAGCUUAGAGAAAGUUUCCUUAGUGUCAAUGAAAGGAGUGACAAUGCAAAGAAGUCCCAUCUCAUUCACUUAUUGAUAUAUAUUCAAAAAUAAAAGAAAUCUAGUGGAAAAUGUCACUAAAAGGAGCUCCUUUAUAAAAGUGUAUUUUAAACUACAUUGAUCCAGAGUUUUUUCCAAGCUAAAUGUGCUGCUUAACUUUCUUUGACUACAACUUGCAGACGUUUCUAAAAAUCUUUACAGGCUGUGUGGAGACAUUGCAAAUAAUGAAUACAUUUAAAGACUCAAUUUUUGUUUUAAAUAUUUGAUGCACUUGUUAAAUUCAAGCUGAUGACUGGAACUACAUUUAGAAAAAGUUUUUUAAAUUUUAAUUUAAAAUAGACAUUCUUAGAAAUGAACUUUCAUUGGUGGAACGGGCCACAUUGAUACAAACUUGGAUGAAACUUUUGUGUUCAUUUCAGUUGAAGUCAUCUAGUAAUUUGAACAUUUUCAUUUAUUUUAUUUGUGUAGCUAAUUAAAAAAAAGGAAUCCUCUUGCAGUUUUUAAACGACAAGUAGAGAUGUCUGUAUUUUGAGUCUUUGAAAUAAAGUAUUCCAGUGUGUAUUUUGUUUAUUUAGUACAAAAUUAAUGUCUGCUUUAAGGAAAAGAAAAAAUUGAAUCAAAACAAUUGAAUGUAAUGAAACUGGAAUAAAAACCUGUUGAACUGUACACACAC